rnacentral:rRNA from 1 species
GUGGAUUCUCAAGCGUGAGGUAAGAGCAUUUGGUGGAUGCCUUGGCAUGUGCAGGCGAUGAAGGACGUGGCACGCUGCGAUAAGCGUCGGGGAGAUGUGAGCAAUCUUUGAUCCGGCGAUUUCCGAAUGGGGAAACCCACCCUCACCAUUUCCUUUCGAUCGACCUUCGGGUGGAUCGGAAAGAGGUGGAUAGGGUAUCACCAGACUGAAUAUAUAGGUUUGGUGAAGCGAACCCGGGGAACUGAAACAUCUCAGUACCCGGAGGAAAAGACAUCAACAGAGAUUCCCGUAGUAGUGGCGAGCGAACCGGGACCAGGCCAGUGCCUUCAUUUCAACUAGCAAAACACUUUGGAAAGAGUGGCCAUAGCGGGUGACAGCCCCGUAUGCGAAAGUGAUGAUGAAGGACUCGAGUAGGGCGGGACACGUGAAAUCCUGUCUGAACAUGGGGGGACCACCCUCCAAGCCUAAAUACUCGCACAUGACCGAUAGCGAACACAGUACCGUGAGGGAAAGGUGAAAAGCACCCCGAUUAGGGGAGUGAAACAGUACCUGAAACCGGAUGCUUACAAGCAGUUGGAGCCCCAUAGGGGGUGACAGCGUACCUCUUGCAUAAUGGGUCAGUGACUUAAUCUACCAUGCAAGCUUAAGCCGUUAGGUGUAGGCGCAGCGAAAGCGAGUCUGAAUAGGGCGACUGAGUAUGAUGGAUUAGACCCGAACCCCGGCGAUCUAGGCAUGGCCAGGUUGAAGGUGCGGUAACACGCACUGGAGGACCGAACCGGUGAAUGUUGAAAAAUUCUCGGAUGAGCUGUGUUUAGGGGUGAAAGGCCAAUCAAGCCGGGAAAUAGCUGGUUCUCCGCGAAAUCUAUUGAGGUAGAGCGUCGGAUGUAUGCCGAUGGGGGUAGAGCACUGGAUGGGCUAGGGCUGCGCGAGCGGUACCAAACCUAACCAAACUCCGAAUACCAUCGAGUCUUGUCCGGCAGACAGACGGCGGGUGCUAAGGUCCGUCGUCAAAAGGGAAACAGCCCUAACCUACAGCUAAGGUCCCCAAGUCAUAUCUAAGUGGGAAAGCAUGUGGGAAUCCCAAAACAACCAGGAGGUUGGCUUAGAAGCAGCCAUCCUUUAAAGAUAGCGUAACAGCUCAC